UAGGGAAUCCUCCACAAUGGGCGAAAGCCUGAUGGAGCAACGCCGCGUGUGUGAUGAAGGGUUUCGGCUCGUAAAACACUGUUGUAAGAGAAGAAUGACAUUGAGAGUAACUGUUCAAUGUGUGACGGUAUCUUACCAGAAAGGAACGGCUAAAUACGUGCCAG
rnacentral:rRNA from 1 species